rnacentral:lncRNA from 1 species
AGAGAAGAUUUAGGAGAGUGAUCUAACCUGGCUCCCCAGUCAAGGAGUCUAACCAAAUGCUGGAGUUGAAGGUACAGAGCCAAAGUGAGGGGUAGGUGCAGAAACCAAAACACCAGGGUGAUCAUAUAUUGAAAAUAAGUACAACGAAAGGGGCAGAGACUGUGUGCCUUUUUUAUGGCCCCUCAACUAUCCUAUUUUAAUUCUGGCUUGGAAAAGAACUCAUUCCUUGGAUGGUUACACAGGGGUGUCAUUGAGAUCUGGUAUCAACCCAGGCCAUGGAGCUGAAUGGAGAAGAAAUGCCUUCCAUCCCUUCCAACCAUUUGGCUUCUCCAGUCCCUCACCUCAAGCAAACCUCAUCAAGGUUUUCCGAUUUCCAGACCCAGGUCCUGAGCAACUAUGUAAAUGCAAACAAACACUGGUGAUGACUGUAAGGCCAUCAAACUCCAAACAGUCAUGCAACCAGAGCCUCUGAAGAUGGCCCCUUCUGCCGGGAACCCUUAGAUCAGCCUCUGAGGGAGUUCUGCCAUUUCCCCAAAACAGCGCCCCCUGUCAGCAGGAAGCGGUUAAGAUCAGUCUUCAUCCUUAUCCUUAAUCUAACCACAGUUAGAUGUACUUCUUUAGAGGGGGGAAUGAGACAGCCAGUGGGAGGGGAUUCCUGGAGAAACUCCAAGCAGCCUGCGCACUGGGGUGGAGCCUUGGGAAGUUCACACGAUUUGAAGCAGGGAGGAGCCUGCCUCGUCGUCUUCCUGUGUGGACCUGGGAUUCAAACGCCAGGCAGGUGUUUCCCCCACCCGUUUUUCUCCCUUUUCACCCAAUAAAACCCUAUUUUGCUCACCCUUUAAACUGUCUGUGAGGCUAAAUUUUUGUGGCCUUGGGAUGGACAAGAACCCAGUCUUUAGCUGAACUAAGAAAAGUCCUACAAUACCAGGGAGGUUUACAUUUAUCAAUAAGAACAUAAAAACAUAUGGGCAGUAAUAAAAUAAAUUUCAACAUGC